rnacentral:rRNA from 1 species
UCGGGAAUUUUGGGCAAUGGGCGAAAGCCUGACCCAGCAACGCCGCGUGAAGGAUGAAGUAUUUCGGUAUGUAAACUUCGAAAGAAUAGGAAGAAUAAAUGACGGUACUAUUUAUAAGGUCCGGCUAACUACGUGCCAGCAGCCGCGGUAAUACGUAGGGACCAAGCGUUGUUCGGAUUUACUGGGCGUAAAGGGCGCGUAGGCGGCAAUUCAAGUCAUCUGUGAAAUCUCCGGGCUUAACUCGGAACGGUCAGAUGAUACUGCUUUGCUAGAGUGCAGAAGGGGCAAUCGGAAUUCUUGGUGUAGCGGUGAAAUGCGUAGAUAUCAAGAGGAACACCUGAGGUGAAGACGGGUUGCUGGGCUGACACUGGCGCUGAGGCGCGAAAGCCAGGGGAGCAAACGGGAUUAGAUACCCCCGUAGUCCCUGAGCGGGCUGGCAAGGCGCAU